GACGAACGCUGGCGGCGUGCUUAACACACGCAAGUCGAACGGUAAGGCCCUUCGGGGUACACGAGUGGCGAACGGGUGAGUAACACGUGGGUGAUCUGCCCUGCACUUCGGGAUAAGCCUGGGAAACUGGGUCUAAUACCGGAUAGGACUCCGGACUGCAUGGUCUGGGGUGGAAAGCUUUUGCGGUGUGGGAUGGGCCCGCGGCCUAUCAGCUUGUUGGUGGGGUGAUGGCCUACCAAGGCGACGACGGGUAGCCGGCCUGAGAGGGUGACCGGCCACACUGGGACUGGGAUACGGCCCAGACUCCUACGGGAGGCAGCAGUGGGGAAUAUUGCACAAUGGGCGCAAGCCUGAUGCAGCGACGCCGCGUGAGGGAUGACGGCCUUCGGGUUGUAAACCUCUUUCAGCAUCGACGAAGCGAAAGUGACGGUAGGUGCAGAAGAAGGACCGGCCAACUACGUGCCAGCCGCCGCGGUAA
rnacentral:rRNA from 1 species